rnacentral:rRNA from 1 species
GGGGGAAUAUUGCACAAUGGGCGCAAGCCUGAUGCAGCCAUGCCGCGUGUAUGAAGAAGGCCUUCGGGUUGUAAAGCACUUUCAGCGGGGAGGAAGGCGAUAAGGUUAAUAACCUUGUCGAUGGACGUUACCCGCAGAAGAAGCACCGGCUAACUCCGGGCCAGCAGCCGCGGUAAUACGGAGGGUGCAAGCGUUAAUCGGAAUUACUGGGCGUAAAGCGCACGCAGGCGGUCUGUCAAGUCGGAUGUGAAAUCCCCGGGCUCAACCUGGGAACUGCAUUCGAAACUGGCAGGCUAGAGUCUUGUAGAGGGGGGUAGAAUUCCAGGUGUAGCGGUGAAAUGCGUAGAGAUCUGGAGGAAUACCGGUGGCGAAGGCGGCCCCCUGGACAAAGACUGACGCUCAGGUGCGAAAGCGUGGGGAGCAAACAGG